rnacentral:rRNA from 1 species
GACGAACGCUGGCGGCGUGCUUAACACAUGCAAGUCGAACGGUAAGGCUCCAGCUUGCUGGGGUACACGAGUGGCGAACGGGUGAGUAACACGUGGGUGACCUGCCCUGCACUUCGGGAUAAGCCUGGGAAACUGGGUCUAAUACCGGAUAGGACCGUACCGUGAGGGUGUGGUGGAAAGUUUUUUCGGUGUGGGAUGGGCCCGCGGCCUAUCAGCUUGUUGGUGGGGUAAUGGCCUACCAAGGCGGCGACGGGUAGCCGGCCUGAGAGGGUGGACGGCCACAUUGGGACUGAGACACGGCCCAGACUCCUACGGGAGGCAGCAGUGGGGAAUAUUGCACAAUGGGCGGAAGCCUGAUGCAGCGACGCCGCGUGGGGGAUGACGGCCUUCGGGUUGUAAACUCCUUUCACCAUCGACGAAGGGUUUCUGACGGUAGAUGGAGAAGAAGCACCGGCUAACUACGUGCCAGCAGCCGCGGUAAUACGUAGGGUGCGAGCGUUGUCCGGAAUUACUGGGCGUAAAGAGCUCGUAGGUGGUUUGUCGCGUCGUCUGUGAAAUUCCGGGGCUUAACUCCGGGCGUGCAGGCGAUACGGGCAUAACUUGAGUACUGUAGGGGAGACUGGAAUUCCUGGUGUAGCGGUGAAAUGCGCAGAUAUCAGGAGGAACACCGGUGGCGAAGGCGGGUCUCUGGGCAGUAACUGACGCUGAGGAGCGAAAGCAUGGGGAGCGAACAGGAUUAGAUACCCUGGUAGUCCAUGCCGUAAACGGUGGGCGCUAGGUGUGGGUUUCCUUCCACGGGAUCCGUGCCGUAGCUAACGCAUUAAGCGCCCCGCCUGGGGAGUACGGCCGCAAGGCUAAAACUCAAAGGAAUUGACGGGGGCCCGCACAAGCGGCGGAGCAUGUGGAUUAAUUCGAUGCAACGCGAAGAACCUUACCUGGGCUUGACAUAUACAGGAUCGCGCCAGAGAUGGUGUUUCCCUUGUGGCUUGUAUACAGGUGGUGCAUGGUUGUCGUCAGCUCGUGUCGUGAGAUGUUGGGUUAAGUCCCGCAACGAGCGCAACCCUUGUCUUAUGUUGCCAGCACGUUGUGGUGGGGACUCGUAAGAAACUGCCGGGGUUAACUCGGAGGAAGGUGGGGAUGACGUCAAAUCAUCAUGCCCCUUAUGUCCAGGGCUUCACACAUGCUACAAUGGUCGGUACAGUGGGUUGCCAGUCCGUGAGGGCGAGCUAAUCCCGCAAAGCCGGUCUCAGUUCGGAUCGGGGUCUGCGACUCGACCCCGUGAAGUCGGAGUCGCUAGUAAUCGCAGAUCAGCAACGCUGCGGUGAAUACGUUCCCGGGCCU